CCUACGGGGGGCUGCAGUGGGGAAUAUUGGACAAUGGGCGAAAGCCUGAUCCAGCCAUGCCGCGUGUGUGAAGAAGGUCUUCGGAUUGUAAAGCACUUUAAGUUGGGAGGAAGGGUUGUAGAUUAAUACUCUGCAAUUUUGACGUUACCGACAGAAUAAGCACCGGCUAACUCUGUGCCAGCAUCUUGUGUAAUACACCUUGUGCAAGCGUUAAUCGGAAUUACUGGGCGUAAAGCGCGCGUAGGUGGUUUGUUAAGGUGGAUGUGAAAACCCCGGGCUCAACCUGGGAACUGCAUUCAAAACUGACUGACUAGAGGAUGGUAGAGGGUGGUAGAAUUUCCAGUGUAGCGGUGAAAUGCGUAGAUAUAGGAAGGAACACCAGUGGCGAAGGCGACCACCUGGACUAAUACUGACACUGAGGUGCGAAAGCGUGGGGAGCAAACAGGAUUAGAUACCCUUGUAGUC
rnacentral:rRNA from 1 species